GAGAGAAAAUAGAAUAAAAUAAAACAAAAUGAAACAAAAAGCUGACUCGGCACCAAUAAUUCGAAAGUUUAAACUUUUUAAUACUGCACAAAACUUAAGAACAUUUAAUACUUAUCUUGCAACUCAGAUAAUACGCUGCAAAUUCAUCCAGUAAGAACAACGGUUUGAUGUGGUUUGUCAUCAUCGUAACCGUCAAUGGCAACCGUUAUCGUGCUAUGAUAACCGACUAUUUGAUGCCUGAAAAUUAACCUAGUGAUCUCGACGAAAUUUGGUUUCAACAAGACGGCACCACUUCCCAUCAUCACAUUAAUCUAUGGAUUU